rnacentral:lncRNA from 1 species
CUGUGAAAUGGCCACCAAGACGGACGCAUCAGCAAUCCCGUGAGAUGAGAGAGAUGAGACGUCUAUGAUGUCUUAGAAGCAACAUCUGAAUCACUCAGGAUGUUCCAAAAGAAAGAUGGCCACAAAGAAGAGCAAGGGAAUAGACCGUGUGGCCAGGUGCUUGAGCCUUUGUCUAUUUCUCUGUAUUUUCCUACCCCCACCCCCCAGUACUAGAGUGUGCAGCAGCAGCAUACUGAAGGCCAGUGUCCGGUUGUAAAGAUCACACACAGAAGACACAUUAGAAGAGUCCCUUCCUCAUCGGCAUGGGGUGUGUCCUGUGUGAGCUCCCUGAAUGUUGAUUGGAAUGGGAAGUCCUACUUGUAUUCCCUCCUGCCUGCUCCAUUCCUUUUGAGUGACAUGUCUGGGGUCAGGGCUGAGAGCAUGGGGGAGGAUGCAGACCUCAGAGUGGGAGAGUCACCCCAAGGCUCAACUAACACCAGAACCUCGUCCUUGGUGUCUCAGUGGGCAAGGCUGGGCUUGUCAUCUUGCCCAGCCUCUGGUGGAGGCAGCAUAGACUUGGUGACAGCUUCCUCGGAAGAGAUGAAUGAAGCAAUUGUGUACUUGGUGCAGAGAAGAUUCCAGAUGGAGGAGGUGUUUUCAAUGGCAAUAACCCGGAGAUGGAAUAUUUCAAUGAGUCAACAAACAGAGAUAUUGGCA